rnacentral:rRNA from 1 species
GACGAACGCUGGCGGCGUGCUUAACACAUGCAAGUCGAACGAUGAACCCGGACCUUACUCCGGUGGAUUAGUGGCGAACGGGUGAGUAACACGUGAGUAACCUGCCCUUGACUCUGGGAUAACUGCGGGAAACUGUAGCUAAUACCGGAUACGACCCUCGGCGGCAUCGCCAGGGGGUGGAAAGAAUUUCGGUCAAGGAUGGACUCGCGGCCUAUCAGCUAGUUGGUGAGGUAACGGCUCACCAAGGCGACGACGGGUAGCCGGCCUGAGAGGGUGACCGGCCACACUGGGACUGAGACACGGCCCAGACUCCUACGGGAGGCAGCAGUGGGGAAUAUUGCACAAUGGGCGCAAGCCUGAUGCAGCAACGCCGCGUGAGGGAUGACGGCCUUCGGGUUGUAAACCUCUUUUAGUAGGGAAGAAGCGAAAGUGACGGUACCUGCAGAAAAAGCACCGGCUAACUACGUGCCAGCCGCCGCGGUAACAC